rnacentral:rRNA from 1 species
UCGAGCGGAUGACGGGAGCUUGCUCCUUGAUUCAGCGGCGGACGGGUGAGUAAUGCCUAGGAAUCUGCCUGGUAGUGGGGGACAACGUUUCGAAAGGAACGCUAAUACCGCAUACGUCCUACGGGAGAAAGCAGGGGACCUUCGGGCCUUGCGCUAUCAGAUGAGCCUAGGUCGGAUUAGCUAGUAGGUGAGGUAAUGGCUCACCUAGGCGACGAUCCGUAACUGGUCUGAGAGGAUGAUCAGUCACACUGGAACUGAGACACGGUCCAGACUCCUACGGGAGGCAGCAGUGGGGAAUAUUGGACAAUGGGCGAAAGCCUGAUCCAGCCAUGCCGCGUGUGUGAAGAAGGUCUUCGGAUUGUAAAGCACUUUAAGUUGGGAGGAAGGGCAGUAAGCUAAUACCUUGCUGUUUUGACGUUACCGACAGAAUAAGCACCGGCUAACUCUGUGCCAGCAGCCGCGGUAAUACAGAGGGUGCAAGCGUUAAUCGGAAUUACUGGGCGUAAAGCGCGCGUAGGUGGUUCGUUAAGUUGGAUGUGAAAGCCCCGGGCUCAACCUGGGAACUGCAUCCMAAACUGGCGAGCU